AUUGAACGCUGGCGGCAGGCCUAACACAUGCAAGUCGAGCGGAUGAAGGGAGCUUGCUCCUGGAUUCAGCGGCGGACGGGUGAGUAAUGCCUAGGAAUCUGCCUGGUAGUGGGGGAUAACGUACGGAACUGGGCCCUAAUACCGCUAACGUCUCGAGGGAGAAAGUGGGGGAUCUUCGGCUCCCACGCUAUCAGAUGAGCCUAGGUCCGAUUAGCUAGUUGGUGGGGUAAAGGCCUACCAAGGCGACGAUCCGUAACCGGUCUGAGAGGAUGAACAGUCACAGAGGAACUGAGACGCGGUACAGAGACUUAGGGAAGGCAGAGGUGGGGAAUAGCGGAAGAUGGGCGAAAGCCUGAUCCAGCCAUGCCGGGUGUAUGAAGAAGGUCUGCGGAUGGGAUAACGCUUUAAGUGGUGAGGAAGGGUAUUAAGUGAAAAGCUUCCUGUUUUGACGUUACCAGCAGAAUAAGCACCGGCUAACUACGUG
rnacentral:rRNA from 1 species